AAGAUACUCCCUCCGUCCGAAAAUACUUGUCAUCAAAAUGGAUAAAUAUAGAUGUAUCUAUAACUAAAAAUAUGUCUAGAUACAUCCCUUUUUAUCCAUUUUGAUGACAAGUAUUUCUGGACGGAGGGAGUAUUUU
rfam:Triticum aestivum genome assembly, contig: Triticum_aestivum_CS42_TGACv1_scaffold_513132_6BS